rnacentral:rRNA from 1 species
UACGUAGGGGGCAAGCGUUGUCCGGAAUCAUUGGGCGUAAAGGGCGCGUAGGUGGCCCGGUCAGCGUGCGGUGAAAGCUCGGGGCUCAACCCCGAGUCGGCCGUGCGAACUGCUGGGCUUGAGCACUGUAGAGGCAGGCGGAAUUCCGGGUGUAGUGGUGGAAUGCGUAGAGAUCCGGAGGAACACCGGUGGCGAAGGCGGCAUCCUGGACCGACACUGACGCUGAGGAGCGAAAGCCAGGGGAGCAAAGCGGG